rnacentral:misc_RNA from 1 species
UGAUAUGGAUUCAAAUGAUAUAAAUGUUGGGGCUUCCUCUACUUACGACGCUCUACAUCGGAGCCUGGGUGUAGUGAGAAAUAUGCAAGGAUGUAGGGCGUUCACAGAAAGCGACGCACUAUGCUGGUGCUCGAGUGUGGUGUUAAAUGAGCAAGUAUUCCCACAUCAUGGACAUGUGUGGGUAAAGAAGUUAGUCUAUAGGACAGGUAGUAGAACAAAUAGUAGAAUAGAACACCAGAUAGGCAUAGAGAACAAUAGAAUAUAUCAUAGAAGAAGAUCAAUUAGGAAGGAACAGGAAGAAGGAGAAUCAGGGUUGGUACUUAGAAUGUUGAAUCACUUACAGAAAAAUUAAUAAAGCUUGUGGAUACCUUGGAAAGAAGAAUGGUGAAUAUUACUUGCAUUCAGGAGACUAAAUAGGUAGGAGAGAAAAGUAAGAAAGUGAGUGAUUCAGGAUACAAACUAUGGUUUACCGGAAAGGAGAGGAAUAAGAACGGAGUGGACAUGAUCAUAGACAAAACAUUGAAAGAUGUCGUAAUAGCU